rnacentral:rRNA from 1 species
GACGGAGGGUGCUAGCGUUGUUCGGAAUCACUGGGCGUAAAGGGCGCGUAGGCGGCCUCAGGUGUCGGAUGUGAAAGCCCGGGGCUCAACCCCGGAGGUGCAUCCGAAACUCUGGGGCUGGAGGUCGGAAGAGGAGGGUGGAAUACCCAGUGUAGAGGUGAAAUUCGUAGAUAUCUGGAGGAAUACCGGUGGCGAAGGCGGCAUCCUGGACCGACAUUGACGCUGAUGAGCGAAAGCUAGGGGAGCAAACGGG